GCAUAACGCGAAGAACCUUACCAGGUCUUGACAUCCCGCUGACCGGUCCUUAACCGGACCUUCCCUUCGGGGCAGCGGAGACAGGUGGUGCAUGGUUGUCGUCAGCUCGUGUCGUGAGAUGUUGGGUUAAGUCCCGCAACGAGCGCAACCCCUAUCCUUAGUAGCCAGCAGUUCGGCUGGGCACUCUAGGGAGACUGCCAGGGAUAACCUGGAGGAAGGCGGGGAUGACGUCAAAUCAUCAUGCCCCUUAUGAUCUGGGCUACACACGUGCUACAAUGGUGACUACAAAGGGAAGCAAACCUGUGAGGGGGAGCAAAUCCCAAAAAGUCAUCCCAGUUCGGAUUGUAGUCUGCAACUCGACUACAUGAAGCUGGAAUCGCUAGUAAUCGCGAAUCAGCAUGUCGCGGUGAAUACGUUCCCGGGUCUUGUACACACCG
rnacentral:rRNA from 1 species